GAUGAAGAACGUAGCGAAAUGCGAUAAGUAAUGUGAAUUGCAGAAUUCAGUGAAUCAUCGAAUCUUUGAACGCACAUUGCGCCCGCCAGUAUUCUGGCGGGCAUGCCUGUUCGAGCGUCAUUUCAACCAUCAAGCCCCCGGCUUGUGUUGGGGACUUGCGGCUGCCGCAGGCCCUGAAAAGCAGUGGCGGGCUCGCUGUCACACCGAGCGUAGUAGCAUACAUCUCGCUCUGGGCGUGCUGCGGGUUCCGGCCGUUAAACCACCUUCAUAACCCAAGGUUGACCUCGGAUCAGGUAGGAAGACCCGCUGAACUUAAGCAUAUCAAUAAGCGGAGGA
rnacentral:misc_RNA from 1 species